rnacentral:lncRNA from 1 species
AUGGAAGUCGGGCAGUGGCAGAUGCCAGGGAAGCAUGGCAAAGCCCUCCUGAGCAGCUCUGCACGGACAAAUUUCCAUCAGACGGACGGAAACCUCGCAGGAGCGGGACCAGCACCAGCCGGGCAGCCAAGGGCUCUCUCCCACGGAUGUGGGCAGCAGAGGGGAUGCUCGGCCCCAUCAGCUUUUCCUGCUGAGAGCACAGCCGUUGCUGGCCAGAGGAUGGGGUGGACACGGGGACUUCAACACAGUUACCUCCUGCCCUGAAAUCAUCAUCCAGCUUUGGAGUCAGCGUUGGCAGCCUGCUGAUGCCACCACACGAAGAAGAAGGGAUGGCAGGAAGAACAAGUCUUAGGAGGAGCGGCUGAGGGAGCUGGGAUUGUUCAGCCUGGAGAAGAGGAGGCUCAGGGGCGACCUUAUCGCACUC